rnacentral:lncRNA from 1 species
CACUCCAGACAUUUAGAUUGAAUAUUAAAAUGGCAACCAUGGCUCUUAAACACAUUCAGAUACAUAAAGUCAAUAGCCAAAACAACAAAAUCAUGAAUUUACCCCUGGAUUGAACCUCAUUACUGACCUAAACAAACUUAACAAAACCAGACAAGACAUGUUCCUUAUCCAUACUACAAUAGCGCAAGCACUAUAUACUCAACAAGAAAAGUUUUUAGCCAAACCAAUACCAACAUGACAAGCUAAAGUCCAAAUACAAUCUUAAAAUGAAAUGUACCAUCAACAGCAUGAAUGAAUACAGUAAAUCAUAUAGUAAAGCUAAUUUAGUGCAGAAAACAUGGAUAGAUUCUAAAGAACAUAACCUGAUAUUCAGCAAAGCUAAUAUUUGAAUCUCCAACUUCGAUUACAUAUUUCAGAUUUCACUUCACAUAUCAGUAAGUUCCAAGAGGUACCUGGAGGUAAAGAUAAAGCAAAAAGGUUGAGGAUUUUAGCAAUAGCAGAAGAGUGUGUAAACCAGCAAAUCAACAUAGCAAAAUUCAGCUCCUUUAGACCCUCUUUAAAUACAGAUGAACUAGAAUUUUCUUUGAAACCUUUAAGUUCUUAAUAAAGUGGAUACCAAAGAGCAAUUCCUAAAUAAUUUUCGACCAAAGUGAUGCAGAAAACUUUUGAGUAUUUU